UGGCUCAGUUGGUAGAGCAUGGCACUUGCAAUGCCAGGGUUGUGGGUUCGAUUCCCAC
rnacentral:tRNA from 1 species